CCGCCCGUCACACCAUGGAAGUGUAUUGCACCAGAAGCAGGUAGCCUGACCGCAAGGAGGGCGCCUACCGCGGUGUGGUCCAUGACUGGGGUG
rnacentral:rRNA from 1 species